rnacentral:rRNA from 1 species
GACGAACGCUGGCGGCGCGCCUAACACAUGCAAGUUGAGCGAGAACCAGGGCUUCGGCCCUGGGGACAGCGGCGAACGGGUGAGUAACACGUGGAUAACCUGCCCUCGGCACCGGAAUAGCCCGGGGAAACUCGGAUUAAUGCCGGAUGGCCCCUCAGCCCCUCGGGGCGGUGGGGAAAGGUAGCUUCGGCCUCUGGCCGAGGAUGGGUCCGCGGCGGAUUAGCUAGUUGGCGGGGUAAUGGCCCACCAAGGCGACGAGCCGUAGCUGGGCUGAGAGGACGAUCGGCCACAGUGGGACUGAGACACGGCCCGGACUCCUACGGGAGGCAGCAGUGGGGAAGCUUGCGAAAUGGGCGAAAGCCUGACGCAGCGACGCCGGGUGCGGGAAGAAGGCCUUAGGGUUGUAAACCGCUUUCAGGAGGGACGAAGCCACUCGGGUGAACAGCCCAGAGGGUGACGGUACCUCCAGAAGAAGCCCCGGCUAACUACGUGCCAGCCGCCGCCGUAACAC